GAGAUGGCAUGGAUAUCAGUACCUCCGUCAUGUGGUUCAGUAAAACCCACCCAGCUUUCGUGGGCAUCUUCUUUCCCGAAUCCCUCAAUCUCCUUCAGUUGCACCACGACCCCUCCUAAUCUCAUUCGCACACCCAACAAGGUUUUUCGUGCCAGUAUCCCUUCACCUGUGCCUCACUGACUUAAGUUAAUUAAUCAACCGACGGUUGCUGAAAUAGAAAAGGAGUAGCUGUUCAAUUCUAUGCUUCAUAGAUAUCAUGAAAAAAGGUGGAGACUCUUUUGAUUUUUUUGAUCAAGUUUCGCAAUCAAGUUGAUUGUAUUCUUUGUAUAACAGCUCUGAAAAGGUACUUUAAUUGCAUUAAGUUUUGCUUCGGUCUUUCAAGUUACUAUGCAUGUAAUAUGGAAGGGAGCAACUGUGGUUUUUGUUAUAUCAAGCAAUCGGUUUCUAUUACAAAUAGGAAAAACUAUUUUCCCAACGUUCAUUGUGUAGUUGUGAACUAUGAUUAUUUCUUUGGUCUUCCUGUAAAGAACCCAGAAUGAGAUAUCAUAUAGCUUGAGGCUAAAAGGCUUUGCAGACUAGCAUGUGUGAGAAUUAAUUUGGUUUGUCAAAGUUUAGAUUUUGGAUCUGGAAUUGAGAUUUUUGUGGGCUUUGUUGUUUUAAUAGCUAUUGAAAGAUAGUUUCUUAGUGGCCAUUGUGUGAAAUAGCGUUGGUACAUGAUUGUAAGAUAAUUUGUUUUUGGUGAUUGACUAAAUGGGCACAAACGUUUGUCGUUUCAAUUUUACGAUCAGUUGUUU